rnacentral:rRNA from 1 species
AAAUUGAAGAGUUUGAUCAUGGCUCAGAUUGAACGCUGGCGGCAGGCCUAACACAUGCAAGUCGAACGGUAACAGGAAGCAGCUUGCUGCUUCGCUGACGAGUGGCGGACGGGUGAGUAAUGUCUGGGAAACUGCCUGAUGGAGGGGAUAACUACUGGAAACGGUAGCUAAUACCGCAUAACGUCGCAAGACCAAAGAGGGGGACCUUCGGGCCUCUUGCCAUCGGAUGUGCCCAGAUGGGAUUAGCUUGUUGGUGGGGUAACGGCUCACCAAGGCGACGAUCCCUAGCUGGUCUGAGAGGAUGACCAGCCACACUGGAACUGAGACACGGUCCAGACUCCUACGGGAGGCAGCAGUGGGGAAUAUUGCACAAUGGGCGCAAGCCUGAUGCAGCCAUGCCGCGUGUAUGAAGAAGGCCUUCGGGUUGUAAAGUACUUUCAGCGGGGAGGAAGGGAGUAAAGUUAAUACCUUUGCUCAUUGACGUUACCCGCAGAAGAAGCACCGGCUAACUCCGUGCCAGCAGCCGCGGUAAUACGGAGGGUGCAAGCGUUAAUCGGAAUUACUGGGCGUAAAGCGCACGCAGGCGGUUUGUUAAGUCAGAUGUGAAAUCCCCGGGCUCAACCUGGGAACUGCAUCUGAUACUGGCAAGCUUGAGUCUCGUAGAGGGGGGUAGAAUUCCAGGUGUAGCGGUGAAAUGCGUAGAGAUCUGGAGGAAUACCGGUGGCGAAGGCGGCCCCCUGGACGAAGACUGACGCUCAGGUGCGAAAGCGUGGGGAGCAAACAGGAUUAGAUACCCUGGUAGUCCACGCCGUAAACGAUGUCGACUUGGAGGUUGUGCCCUUGAGGCGUGGCUUCCGGAGCUAACGCGUUAAGUCGACCGCCUGGGGAGUACGGCCGCAAGGUUAAAACUCAAAUGAAUUGACGGGGGCCCGCACAAGCGGUGGAGCAUGUGGUUUAAUUCGAUGCAACGCGAAGAACCUUACCUGGUCUUGACAUCCACGGAAGUUUUCAGAGAUGAGAAUGUGCCUUCGGGAACCGUGAGACAGGUGCUGCAUGGCUGUCGUCAGCUCGUGUUGUGAAAUGUUGGGUUAAGUCCCGCAACGAGCGCAACCCUUAUCCUUUGUUGCCAGCGGUCCGGCCGGGAACUCAAAGGAGACUGCCAGUGAUAAACUGGAGGAAGGUGGGGAUGACGUCAAGUCAUCAUGGCCCUUACGACCAGGGCUACACACGUGCUACAAUGGCGCAUACAAAGAGAAGCGACCUCGCGAGAGCAAGCGGACCUCAUAAAGUGCGUCGUAGUCCGGAUUGGAGUCUGCAACUCGACUCCAUGAAGUCGGAAUCGCUAGUAAUCGUGGAUCAGAAUGCCACGGUGAAUACGUUCCCGGGCCUUGUACACACCGCCCGUCACACCAUGGGAGUGGGUUGCAAAAGAAGUAGGUAGCUUAACCUUCGGGAGGGCGCUUACCACUUUGUGAUUCAUGACUGGGGUGAAGUCGUAACAAGGUAACCGUAGGGGAACCUGCGGUUGGAUCACCUCCUUA